rnacentral:miRNA from 1 species
ACUUGAUGGUGUUUAUGACGUCGAAUAUCGACGUCAUAAACACCAAACUUGAUUGGUGUUUAUGACGUCGAAUAUCGACGUCAUAAACACCA